CUGCAUCUGGUGCAGCCUCCUGUUGAGCCAGACCAACAUGCAGUUGAAAAUAAUGAAGAAACAUUGACAGCUGUUACAGAGGAGGAAGCAACAGAGACACUUUAUGAGAGUGAUGAUGGAAAUGCAGAGGAAGAGGGUCCAGCCACUUCUCCAACAAACCUUUCCACAGUAAGAUGUUCAGCACUGAUUUACAACCAACCUAAGUAGGCAUGUACUAUGAAUGUCAAUGCUAUUUUCUGUGUUUCAAUAGCUCCCUGUAAAGCAGCUGUACAAGACCUAUUUGAUCAAGAAAAUAAAAAAAUGCGACUUGGAAAUGGAACACUUCAAGCAGCAGAUCCAAAAGACCAAGAUUGAGAUUUUACUGCUAGAACAUC